rnacentral:rRNA from 1 species
UACGGGGGGGGCAAGCGUUGUUCGGAAUUACUGGGCGUAAAGGGCUCGUAGGCGGCCAACUAAGUCGGAUGUGAAAUCCCCAGGCUUAACCUGGGAACUGCAUCCGAUACUGGAUGGCUUGAAUCCGGGAGAGGGAUGCGGAAUUCCAGGUGUAGCGGUGAAAUACGUAGAUAUCUGGAGGAACACCGGUGGCGAAGGCGGCAUCCUGGACCGGCAUUGACGCUGAGGAGCGAAAGCCAGGGGAGCAAACGGG